rnacentral:rRNA from 1 species
GAGUUUGAUCCUGGCUCAGAACGAACGCUGGCGGCAUGCCUAACACAUGCAAGUCGAACGAGACCUUCGGGUCUAGUGGCGGACGGGUGAGUAACGCGUGGGAACCUGCACUUCAGUGGGGGAUAACGACGGGAAACUGUCGCUAAUACCGCAUACGCCCUACGGGGGAAAGAUUUAUCGCUGAAGGAUGGGCCCGCGUCGGAUUAGCUAGUUGGUGAGGUAACGGCUCACCAAGGCGACGAUCCGUAGCUGGUCUAAGAGGAUGAUCAGCCACACUGGGACUGAGACACGGCCCAGACUCCUACGGGAGGCAGCAGUGGGGAAUAUUGGACAAUGGGGGAAACCCUGAUCCAGCAAUGCCGCGUGAGUGAUGAAGGCCUUAGGGUUGUAAAGCUCUUUCGGUGGUGACGAUGAUGACGGUAACCACAGAAGAAGCCCCGGCUAACUCCGUGCCAGCAGCCGCCGUAAG